UACAGAGGGUGCAAGCGUUGCUCGGAAUUAUUGGGCGUAAAGGGCAGGUAGGUGGUCUUAUUUGUCUACAGGUGAAAUCUCGGAGCUUAACUCCGAAACUGCAUUCGAUACUGCCGUGCUUGAGGACUGGAGAGGAGACUGGAAUUUACGGUGUAGCGGUGAAAUGCGUAGAUAUCGUAAGGAAGACCAGUGGCGAAGGCGGGUCUCUGGACAGUUCCUGACGCUGAGGCACGAAGGCCAGGGGAGCAAACGGG
rnacentral:rRNA from 1 species